GGCCUGGUGGUCUAGUAGUAUGAUUCCUUCUUAGGGCUUUACAGCAUUUGGAGGAGGUCCCGGGUUCAAUUCCCGGCCAGGCCC
rnacentral:tRNA from 1 species